GACGAACGCUGGCGGCGUGCCUAAUACAUGCAAGUAGAACGCUGAAGAGAGGAGCUUGCUCUUCUUGGAUGAGUUGCGAACGGGUGAGUAACGCGUAGGUAACCUGCCUUGUAGCGGGGGAUAACUAUUGGAAACGAUAGCUAAUACCGCAUAACAAUGGAUGACACAUGUCAUUUAUUUGAAAGGGGCAAUUGCUCCACUACAAGAUGGACCUGCGUUGUAUUAGCUAGUAGGUGAGGUAACGGCUCACCUAGGCGACGAUACAUAGCCGACCUGAGAGGGUGAUCGGCCACACUGGGACUGAGACACGGCCCAGACUCCUACGGGAGGCAGCAGUAGGGAAUCUUCGGCAAUGGGGGCAACCCUGACCGAGCAACGCCGCGUGAGUGAAGAAGGUUUUCGGAUCGUAAAGCUCUGUUGUAAGUCAAGAACGAGUGUGAGAGUGGAAAGUUCACACUGUGACGGUAGCUUACCAGAAAGGGACGGCUAACUACGUGCCAGCAGCCGCGGUAAUACGUAGGUCCCGAGCAUUGUCCGGAUUUAUUGGGCGUAAAGCGAGCGCAGGCGGUUUGAUAAGUCUGAAGUUAAAGGCUGUGGCUCAACCAUAGUUCGCUUUGGAAACUGUCAAACUUGAGUGCAGAAGGGGAGAGUGGAAUUCCAUGUGUAGCGGUGAAAUGCGUAGAUAUAUGGAGGAACACCGGUGGCGAAAGCGGCUCUCUGGUCUGUAACUGACGCUGAGGCUCGAAAGCGUGGGGAGCGAACAGGAUUAGAUACCCUGGUAGUCCACGCCGUAAACGAUGAGUGCUAGGUGUUGGAUCCUUUCCGGGAUUCAGUGCCGCAGCUAACGCAUUAAGCACUCCGCCUGGGGAGUACGACCGCAAGGUUGAAACUCAAAGGAAUUGACGGGGGCCCGCACAAGCGGUGGAGCAUGUGGUUUAAUUCGAAGCAACGCGAAGAACCUUACCAGGUCUUGACAUCCCGAUGCUAUUUCUAGAGAUAGAAAGUUACUUCGGUACAUCGGUGACAGGUGGUGCAUGGUUGUCGUCAGCUCGUGUCGUGAGAUGUUGGGUUAAGUCCCGCAACGAGCGCAACCCCUAUUGUUAGUUGCCAUCAUUCAGUUGGGCACUCUAGCGAGACUGCCGGUAAUAAACCGGAGGAAGGUGGGGAUGACGUCAAAUCAUCAUGCCCCUUAUGACCUGGGCUACACACGUGCUACAAUGGUUGGUACAACGAGUUGCGAGUCGGUGACGGCAAGCUAAUCUCUUAAAGCCAAUCUCAGUUCGGAUUGUAGGCUGCAACUCGCCUACAUGAAGUCGGAAUCGCUAGUAAUCGCGGAUCAGCACGCCGCGGUGAAUACGUUCCCGGGCCU
rnacentral:rRNA from 1 species